rnacentral:tRNA from 1 species
UCCCUGGUGGCUCAGACGGUAAAGCAUCUGCCUGCAAUGCAGGAGAUCUGGGUUCGAUUCCUGGGUCGGGAA